AACCCUAAACAUCACACAAAUCACCAAAAAACGCAAAUGAAAAUCUGGAAAAUGACUGAUUUCGGUUUCGGUAAACCAUAGUAUGGGUGUUAACUUGAGAAGAAACCCACUUCUAAGUUCUUUUUUCUGAACUGGGUUUGUGGAAUUUGAAUGUUAUUGUUGACAGGAAAAUGAACGCACAAGCAGCGAUGCAGAUGAGUGGCGAGCUAUGGGAAACAUGGAUCACAACACAGUAACAACACCCAAGAGCUUGUGUUUUCUCAUCGUCGGUAUCUUCGCUUUUUUAAGCCAGACUUGGAAUUUAGGACUGAAGUAAUUAUAGCGACAUCACCAACACGUCCGGAUAACAACAACAAACUCAAACAGCUCCAAGUUUCGAAGAGUCACGUUUCGGUAACAACUUCAAGUUUCUUCCAAUCUAUCGUUGUUGUGUGCUGUUGUGACAAUUUCAUUUUUUUAUUUCAUG
rnacentral:lncRNA from 1 species